rnacentral:rRNA from 1 species
AGCAGCCGCGGUAAUUCCAGCUCCAAUAGCGUAUAUUAAAGUUGUUGCAGUUAAAAAGCUCGUAGUUGAAUUUCGGGGUUAGCAGGUCGGUCGUGCCAAUGGUAUGCACUGGCUCGCUGACUCCUCCUUCUUGUAGAACCGUAAUGCCAUUAAUUUGGUGUUGCGGGGAAACAGGACUGUUACUUUGAAAAAUUAGAGUGUUUAAAGCAGGCUAGCGCCUGAAUACAUUAGCAUGG